GACGUAGGGCGCGAGCGUUGUCCGGAUUAUUGGGCGUAAAGAGCUCGUAGGCGGCUUGUCGCGUCGAAUGUGAAAUCUCAGGGCUCAACUCUGACAUUGCAUUCGAUACGGGCAGGCUAGAGUUCGGUAGGGGAGACUGGAAUUCCUGGUGUAGCGGUGAAAUGCGCAGAUAUCAGGAGGAACACCGGUGGCGAAGGCGGGUCUCUGGGCCGAUACUGACGCUGAGGAGCGAAAGCGUGGGGAGCGAACAGG
rnacentral:rRNA from 1 species